rnacentral:rRNA from 1 species
UGUAUAAUGGGUCAGCGACUUAUAUUCUGUAGCAAGGUUAACCGAAUAGGGGAGCCGAAGGGAAACCGAGUCUUAACUGGGCGUUAAGUUGCAGGGUAUAGACCCGAAACCCGGUGAUCUAGCCAUGGGCAGGUUGAAGGUUGGGUAACACUAACUGGAGGACCGAACCGACUAAUGUUGAAAAAUUAGCGGAUGACUUGUGGCUGGGGGUGAAAGGCCAAUCAAACCGGGAGAUAGCUGGUUCUCCCCGAAAGCUAUUUAGGUAGCGCCUCGUGAAUUCAUCUCCGGGGGUAGAGCACUGUUUCGGCAAGGGGGUCAUCCCGACUUACCAACCCGAUGCAAACUGCGAAUACCGGAGAAUGUUAUCACGGGAGACACACGGCGGGUGCUAACGUCCGUCGUGAAGAGGGAAACAACCCAGACCGCCAGCUAAGGUCCCAAAGUCAUGGUUAAGUGGGAAACGAUGUGGGAAGGCCCAGACAGCCAGGAUGUUGGCUUAGAAGCAGCCAUCAUUUAAAGAAAGCGUAAUAGCUCACUGGUCGAGUCGGCCUGCGCGGAAGAUGUAACGGGGCUAAACCAUGCACCGAAGCUGCGGCAGCGACGCUUAUGCGUUGUUGGGUAGGGGAGCGUUCUGUAAGCCUGCGAAGGUGUACUGUGAGGUAUGCUGGAGGUAUCAGAAGUGCGAAUGCUGACAUAAGUAACGAUAAAGCGGGUGAAAAGCCCGCUCGCCGGAAGACCAAGGGUUCCUGUCCAACGUUAAUCGGGGCAGGGUGAGUCGACCCCUAAGGCGAGGCCGAAAGGCGUAGUCGAUGGGAAACAGGUUAAUAUUCCUGUACUUGGUGUUACUGCGAAGGGGGGACGGAGAAGGCUAUGUUGGCCGGGCGACGGUUGUCCCGGUUUAAGCGUGUAGGCUGAUUUUCCAGGUAAAUCCGGAAAAUCAAGGCUGAGGCGUGAUGACGAGGCACUACGGUGCUGAAGCAACAAAUGCCCUGCUUCCAGGAAAAGCCUCUAAGCAUCAGGUAACAUCAAAUCGUACCCCAAACCGACACAGGUGGUCAGGUAGAGAAUACCAAGGCGCUUGAGAGAACUCGGGUGAAGGAACUAGGCAAAAUGGUGCCGUAACUUCGGGAGAAGGCACGCUGAUACGUAGGUGAAGUCCCUUGCGG